rnacentral:rRNA from 1 species
AUUGACCCCGAAAGGUAGACCUCCCGCCCUUGUGUAUUAUUACUUUGUUGCUUUGGCGAGCUGCCUUCGGGCCUUGUAUGCUCGCCAGAGAAUACCAAAACUCUUUUUAUUAAUGUCGUCUGAGUACUAUAUAAUAGUUAAAACUUUCAACAACGGAUCUCUUGGUUCUGGCAUCGAUGAAGAACGCAGCGAAAUGCGAUAAGUAAUGUGAAUUGCAGAAUUCAGUGAAUCAUCGAAUCUUUGAACGCACAUUGCGCCCCUUGGUAUUCCGGGGGGCAUGCCUGUUCGAGCGUCAUUUCAACCCUCAAGCUUAGCUUGGUAUUGAGUCUAUGUCAGUAAUGGCAGGCUCUAAAAUCAGUGGCGGCGCCGCUGGGUCCUGAACGUAGUAAUAUCUCUCGUUACAGGUUCUCGGUGUGCUUCUGCCAAAACCCAAAUUUUUCUAUGGUUGACCUCGGAUCAGGUAGGGAUACCCGCUGAACUUAAGCAUAUCAUAGGCGCGGAGAGAGAGAAAC